UCUGGACAUUUUAUUAAGCUACGAAUUUAUUUAGUUAUUUUGUUAUUAAGGUAAUACAUAUUAAUUAAUAGGUAUUUCUUAAAAUUUUUUUAUUAUUUUGUUCGAAACAUUAUUUUUAAAUAUUGGGAUCAAUAAAACUAUUUUUAUUCAAUUACUAUUUUAUAUCAAUUAGAAUUUGUUAAUAAACCAAGUAAUAAAUGAAUGGUUACCAAGUAAAAAAACCGUUAUCUACAUUAUAAGUUUGAAUUCAAUUUUCCGCAUUUGCAUCUAGUAGAAACAAAUAAAUGUUUUUUUGAAGACAAUGUAAAAAUAUCCAUCAUCCAUCGGUUAGGACCAUAUUAUAUAUAUUUUCUAUGAUUAGGACGGUGAGGUUAUAAUUAUAAAUAAUCUAUGGCAAAUGACAAUCGUCUGAGACGAACAGCGAUUUCAAUACGUACUCACAUAUUUCGUUCCAUUCUGGUUAUUGAACUAUUUGAACUAGGUGCCUAUUGGCUAUUUUUAUAAAUGCCAUUAAUCUCAAUACUUCCAGACUGAACUUUUGGAUCAGAUAUAUGAAGACGCGCGCUGCAUUUUCCUUGGCGGAGAUGCACAGCUCUGACACUAGACAAUAUUAUAUACACUCGAAGGGAACGCGUUUCGCCGGAAGAAUAAAUAAUUACUGAACAAAAAAAUAAUAUGCCACCAAUAUAAACGGACAGUUUGUUAAACCGUACAUAUUAUAAUUUUCAGCUCAUCGGAGUGAGAUGAUUAGAUAAAGAUGGAUGAAGAUAGCUGUUUCUUCGGCGAUGGCGGCACUCUAGCUACGUUUCACCGGAAGAGUAGAUGUUUACGAAGAUGGUAUUCGUCAUUGAACAUUUGCCAACUGGGGUCUGGAAAUAAUAUAUCAUAUUAAGCAGAGGGAAAUGAGCAGUUAGCGGUGCAGAGUUUCAAAGACUAAGUUUUAUAGCAGAUUUCGAU